UGGGGAAUAUUGCGCAAUGGGCGGAAGCCUGACGCAGCGACGCCGCGUGAGGGAUGACGGCCUUCGGGUUGUAAACCUCUUUCAGCUCUGACGAAGCGCAAGUGACGGUAGGAGCAGAAGAAGCACCGGCCAACUACGUGCCAGCAGCCGCGGUAAUACGUAGGGUGCAAGCGUUGUCCGGAAUUAUUGGGCGUAAAGAGCUCGUAGGCGGUCUGUCGCGUCGAAUGUGAAAAUCCGGGGCUCAACCCCGGACCUGCAUUCGAUACGGGCAGACUAGAGUUCGGUAGGGGAGUCUGGAAUUCCUGGUGUAGCGGUGAAAUGCGCAGAUAUCAGGAGGAACACCGGUGGCGAAGGCGGGACUCUGGGCCGAUACUGACGCUGAGGAGCGAAAGCGUGGGGAGCAAACAG
rnacentral:rRNA from 1 species